CUCCCUGCAAGCAGACGGAGCCGGUUCCGACCUCAGCCAGCCCAGAGAGAGGCUCCCAUAGUGCAGCGGCGGGCUGAAGGGCUCGUCAAGCAUGGCCAGAGUGGGCACCGAGGCCGAGGAGGCGCCGAGAGCGAGGGAGGGCAGCCAGCACGCUGUCACCUCUCACUGGGACACAGUUCAGAGCCUAGCCCUGUGGUAACACUUCUUGAUAACAAAGAACAGAAUCAUAGGAGAGAGGAGCACCAGGGGUUGACAGAAGCAGCCUUUGAAUCAGGAAGCAUCAGGACUACAAGUGGGAGGGCAGAAUCCACCUCCCUCAAUAUGCUGAAGCAGAGAAAACUCCAGAGAACGGCCAGGGCAUCCUGGGAUUACAAGCAGCAGAGGGCAGUGUAGAUGCAAAGGAGGAACCAGUGGAGGAAAUGUCUCUCUUCCUAUGGAUGCCCAGCCUCUGCCCUUGUCUUCUGGACCCCACCUCCUUUCUACCACACAAGUUGGCAUGAUGACAACGUAUUUGGCCCUGGCAAUAGAUUAUGGCUGGUACAAACCAGUUCUCAGGAUAUCUUACAACUAGAGGCAGCCUUAAGACCCUGUUUUGUCGAGAAUACCUACUUGGAAGUCUAGUCAAAAGUGGCAGCUCACCCUCCUGUUUCAACUCAGAAGUCCUUCUCCAUUACCACCCCUGUCAAGUGAGGAGCUGCUGUUUCUCCUACUAAUGAGCAGAGCAGAAAGUGAAGUAAUUACGUCUAUCCUUAGUGAGGUAUAUUCAAGGAAUAAUAAACCCUAAGGCUGGUUUUGAUGUCCUAGUCCUAAGAAGUAGUCUUCCCUAUGGAAGAAUGAGAGAAAGGGAGAAGAGAAAAGAAAGGGAAAAUGAUCUGGGAAGGUAUUAAGUUGACUCCAGAAAAAUUGGCUGUAUUAAAGAUUAAGUGCAAGCAUGGCCUUGGGAAUCUUCCUUCAGGACUUCCAUUCAGCUCCAUAAAUGCUGACAUGUGCUUCUCUCAUAUCCCAGCCCUGUGGCGGUGGUGGAGAGUGGCCUAUACGCUAUCAUUACAAUGAGGUGGCAGCAUGAAGACAGAAGACUCUGCUAAUGAUGGGAAAGCAGAAAGCAGAUCGCCUGGGACACUAACCAUAUUGUGAAACCAGAGCUCAACCCCUGGACCAUCAACAUGCAGAUCUCUUGUUACAUGAGCAAAAAUAUAUGUCUGAAGGAUAAAUAUGUUCAAAAUAGGCUUUCAAAUAGACACUCAUGUCCUUCUGUAAACAUCAUGGUAGAGCAAGUAAAUCACAAACUUUUCUUUCUAUACCCUCAAGACAUGUGGCUUAGUAAAAAUGUCUUCAUUUUGGAGAAUAAUUUUCAAAAUCUAAUGAUAAUAAUUCCCCUUUAAAAAUUCUCAAAUAAAACACAACGGUAAUAUGCAAAACUCAUUUUACAUAAAAAUAGGUAAGUAACUGUAAAAAAAUACUUUUGAUAACAGACAGGUUAAAUUAAUUUAAAAAUCAAAUUUGUUGAGAAAAAGAUUUAAUAUUGAUUCUUUUAUUUUUCUGACACCUCUGGACUGUGGUGUUGUAAGUGUUAGUGUCCUGCUUUUUUCUAACUUACUGCAAGAUCUGUCAAACUAGCUAAAGAUAUGCUUUAGGCAUUGCUAAGACAUAUAUGAGAAAAACCAUUUUAUGUUUUUUAAAAAACAUGGUAAUGAAUAACAAUUAUAUAUCAACAUUGAGCAGAAUUGUCCACAAAAACUUAGAUUUUCAUUUUGUACACCUGGUUUAGUAGUA
rnacentral:lncRNA from 1 species